rnacentral:rRNA from 1 species
GGCUCAGAACGAACGCUGGCGGCGUGCUUAACACAUGCAAGUCGAACGAACCUUCGGGUUAGUGGCGGACGGGUGAGUAACGCGUGAGAAUCUGCCCUCAGGAGGGGGAUAACGGUUGGAAACGACCGCUAAUACCCCAUAUGCCGAGAGGUGAAAAGAAAUUCGCCUGAGGAUGAGCUCGCGUCUGAUUAGCUAGUUGGUGUGGUAAUGGCGCACCAAGGCUUCGAUCAGUAGCUGGUCUGAGAGGAUGAUCAGCCACACUGGGACUGAGACACGGCCCAGACUCCUACGGGAGGCAGCANUGGG